rnacentral:rRNA from 1 species
AGAUUUCCCAUAGUGUCAAGCUAGUAAGACCCCUGAAAGAUGAUCAGGUUGAUAGGUUUGAGGUGGAAGCAUGGUGACAUGUGGAGCUGACAAAUACUAAUCGGUCGAGGACUUAACCAAAA